SAUAGGUUUAGAUUAGUAUAAAUAUAGAAAUUUAAAGUUUUUGGCGGUAAAUUAAUUUUAGAGGAGCUUGCUUAAUAAUUGACUUUACUCAUUGAAUUUAACUUUGUUAAGUUUAUUUAUCUCCGUUAUUAGAAUUGUUUAUUUGAAUAAAUUUAUAGGUUAGAUUUCAGGUCAAGAUGUAGCAAAAAAAGGUAAAGGUGAGCUACAUUAUAGAAUAUGUGGAUUGAGCUUUUGAAAGGUUAGUGAAAAUGGAUUUAUUAGUAAUUUUCUUUAGGAUGGGAAGGUGAAUUAAUAAGAUUU
rnacentral:rRNA from 1 species